ACAAGAGAUGUUUUAUAUGAAGGACAAGAGGUGGUUUGAUAUGAAGGACAAUAGGUGGUUGAUAUGAAGGACAAGAGGUGGUUUGAUAUGAAGGACAAGAGGUGGUUUGAUAUGAAGGACAAGAGGUGUUUGAUAUGAAGGACAAGAGGUAGUUUGAUAUGAAGGACAAGAGAUGGUUUGAUAUGAAGGACAGAGUGUUUGAUAUGAAGGACAAGAGGUGGUUUGAUAUGAAGGCAAGAGGUGGUUUGAUAUGAAGGACAAGAGGUGGUUUGAUAUGAAGGACAAGAGGUGGUUUGAUAUGAAGGACAAGAGGUGGUUUAUAUGAAGGACAAGAGGUGUUUGAUAUGAAGGACAUGAGGUGGUUUGAUAUGAAGGACUCACAUACAACCUAACUUUAUUUAGAUCAUGCUGGAUUAAUCUGAUUCUGUUCAUACUGUCCUAGGCUACCUAAGUUCUAGUAUGCACUAACGCAGUGGUUCCCAACCAUUUUUUGGUUACUGUACCACCAACUGAAUUUWGCUCUGCCUGGAGUACCCCUGAAGUAGACAUGUGUAUUUUACCAGUAGACCUAUGGUCUCAUGAGUCUUCUCAAGUACCCCUGUGGAUAGACCAGGUACCCCCAGGGGUCCUAAUACCACUGGUUGGGAACCACUGCAGUAAUGAACUCUUACAGUGGAUGUGAAGGAAGGAUAUGCCAGCAUGUACAUUAGCUAGUGUUGAGGAGAUUUUAAGAUGAAAUUUAGUUGUUUACAUCACAUCAUAUUUGAAAUGUAAAAAGAACAAAACAUCUGCAUUUAGUACAGCAAUGUACGUACACACACACGCACACUCACUCAGGAAUUACAUGUGACGUUAAUACACCUUUGUUACAUAUUUAUUGUGGAUAAUAUAUUUACUAUUUAGUCACGAUCUCAAAAUCUCUGUUUUGAAUGGACUUAUGCCUACUGGCAUCAUUGUUUACAGUCUGCUAAAAGUUUACUUCAGAGAUGUAUAUGAAGAAAAAACAUUUACAAUAUUGUAAAUAAAUGUGUAAAUAUGUCA